rnacentral:rRNA from 1 species
AUGGGAAACUGUGGCUAAUACCGCAUGAUGUCUACGGACCAAAGUGGGGGAUCUUCGGACCUCACGCCCAGAGAUAGGCCCAAGUGAGAUUAGCUAGUUGGUGGGGUAAAGGCUCACCAAGGCGACGAUCUCUAGCUGUUCUGAGAGGAUGACCAGCCACACUGGGACUGAGACACGGCCCAGACUCCUACGGGAGGCAGCAGUGGGGAAUAUUGCACAAUGGGGGAAACCCUGAUGCAGCCAUGCCGCGUGUGUGAAGAAGGCCUUCGGGUUGUAAAGCACCUUCAGUGGUGAGGAAGGUUGGUAGUUUAAUACGCUACCAAAUUGACGUUAGCCACAGAAGAAGCACCGGCUAACUCCGUGCCAGCAGCCGCGGUAAUACGGAGGGUGCGAGCGUUAAUCGGAAUUACUGGGCGUAAAGCGUACGUAGGCGGCUUAUUAAGCAAGAUGUGAAAGCCCCGGGCUCAACCUGGAAUUGCAUUUUGAACUGGUAGGCUCGAGUUUGAAGAGGGUGGUAGAAUUUCCAGUGUAGCGGUGAAAUGCGUAGAUAUGGAAGGAAUACCAGUGGGCGAAGGCGGCCACCUGGUCAAAACUGACGCUGAGUACGAAG